GAUGAAGAACGUAGUGAAAUGCGAUAAGUAAUGUGAAUUGCAGAAUUCAGUGAAUCAUCGAAUCUUUGAACGCACCUUGCGCCCUUUGGCUAUUCCGAAGGGCAUGCCUGUUUGAGUAUCAUGAACACCUCAACUCUCAUGGCUUGCUGUGAUGAGCUUGGAAUUUGGGGGUCUUGUUGGCUUGUGAGCCAGCUCCUCCUAAAUGAAUUAGCUUGCCGGUGUUUGGUGGCAUCACAGGUGUGAUAACUAUCUACGCUUGUGGUUUCCCAUCAGGUAACCUCCAGUGAUGGAGGUUCGCUGGGGCUCAUAAAUGUCUCUCCUCAGUGAGGACAGAUUUUGACUGUUUGAUCUCAAAUCAGGUAGGACUACCCGCUGAACUUAAGCAUAUCAAUAAGCGGAGGA
rnacentral:misc_RNA from 1 species